rnacentral:rRNA from 1 species
AGAGUUUGAUUCUGGCUCAGAAUGAACGCUGGCGGCAUGCCUAACACAUGCAAGUCGAACGAAGGCUUCGGCCUUAGUGGCGCACGGGUGCGUAACGCGUGGGAAUCUGCCCCUUGGUUCGGAAUAACAGUUAGAAAUGACUGCUAAUACCGGAUGAUGACGUAAGUCCAAAGAUUUAUCGCCGAGGGAUGAGCCCGCGUAGGGUUAGCUAGUUGGUGUGGUAAGAGCGCACCAAGGCGACGAUCCUUAGCUGGUCUGAGAGGAUGAUCAGCCACACUGGGACUGAGACACGGCCCAGACUCCUACGGGAGGCAGCAGUGGGGAAUAUUGGACAAUGGGCGAAAGCCUGAUCCAGCCAAUGCCGCGUGAGUGAUGAAGGCCUUAGGGUUGUAAAGCUCUUUUACCCGGGAUGAUAAUGACAGUACCGGGAGAAUAAGCUCCGGCUAACUCCGUGCCAGCAGCUGC